UUGAAGAGAAGCUUGCUUCUCGGAUAGUUAGCGGCGGACGGGUGAGUAACACGUAGGCAACCUGCCUGUAAGAUCGGGAUAACUACCGGAAACGGCAGCUAAGACCGGAUAAUCGGUUUCUCCGCAUGGAGAGACUGUGAAACACGGAGCAAUCUGUGGCUUACGGAUGGGCCUGCGGCGCAUUAGCUAGUUGGUGAGGUAACGGCUCACCAAGGCGACGAUGCGUAGCCGACCUGAGAGGGUGAACGGCCACACUGGGACUGAGACACGGCCCAGACUCCUACGGGAGGCAGCAGUAGGGAAUCUUCCGCAAUGGACGCAAGUCUGACGGAGCAACGCCGCGUGAGUGAUGAAGGUUUUCGGAUCGUAAAGCUCUGUUGCCAGGGAAGAACGCCAAGGAGAGUAACUGCUCUUUGGGUGACGGUACCUGAGAAGAAAGCCCCGGCUAACUACGUGCCAGCAGCCGCGGUAAUACGUAGGGGGCAAGCGUUGUCCGGAAUUAUUGGGCGUAAAGCGCGCGCAGGCGGUUUUUUAAGUCUGGUGUUUAAUCCCGAGGCUCAACCUCGGUUCGCACCGGAAACUGGGAGACUGGAGUGCAGGAGAGGAAAGUGGAAUUCCACGUGUAGCGGUGAAAUGCGUAGAGAUGUGGAGGAACAC
rnacentral:rRNA from 1 species